rnacentral:rRNA from 1 species
CGCUGGCGGCGUGCUUAACACAUGCAAGUCGAACGAAGCACCUUGAUUUGAUUCUUCGGAUGAAGAUCUUGGUGACUGAGUGGCGGACGGGUGAGUAACGCGUGGGUAACCUGCCUCAUACAGGGGGAUAACAGUUAGAAAUGACUGCUAAUACCGCAUAAGACCACAGCACCGCAUGGUGCAGGGGUAAAAACUCCGGUGGUAUGAGAUGGACCCGCGUCUGAUUAGGUAGUUGGUGGGGUAACGGCCUACCAAGCCGACGAUCAGUAGCCGACCUGAGAGGGUGACCGGCCACAUUGGGACUGAGACACGGCCCAAACUCCUACGGGAGGCAGCAGUGGGGAAUAUUGCACAAUGGGGGAAACCCUGAUGCAGCGACGCCGCGUGAGCAAUGAAGUAUUUCGGUAUGUAAAGCUCUAUCAGCAGGGAAGAAAAUGACGGUACCUGACUAAGAAGCACCGGCUAAAUACGUGCCAGCAGCCGCGGUAAUACGUAUGGUGCAAGCGUUAUCCGGAUUUACUGGGUGUAAAGGGAGCGUAGACGGAGUGGCAAGUCUGAUGUGAAAACCCGGGGCUCAACCCCGGGACUGCAUUGGAAACUGUCAAUCUAGAGUACCGGAGAGGUAAGCGGAAUUCCUAGUGUAGCGGUGAAAUGCGUAGAUAUUAGGAGGAACACCAGUGGCGAAGGCGGCUUACUGGACGGUAACUGACGUUGAGGCUCGAAAGCGUGGGGAGCAAACAGGAUUAGAUACCCUGGUAGUCCACGCCGUAAACGAUGACUACUAGGUGUCGGGCAGCAAAGCUGUUCGGUGCCGCAGCAAACGCAAUAAGUAGUCCACCUGGGGAGUACGUUCGCAAGAAUGAAACUCAAAGGAAUUGACGGAAGGGCGA